CCUACGGGGCGCAGCAGUAGGGAAUUUUCGUCAAUGGGCGCAAGCCUGAACGAGCAAUGCCGCGUGAACGAGGUAGGUCUUCGGAUCGUAAAGUUCUGUUGAAGGGGAAAAAGAGCGGAGAGAGGAAAUGGUCUCCGAUUGAUAUUACCCUUCGAGGAAGUCACGGCUAACUACGUGCCAGCAGCCGCGGUAAUACGUAGGUGGCAAGCGUUGUCCGGAUGUAUUGGGCGUAAAGCGAGUGCAGGCGGUUCAAUUAGUUGUGU
rnacentral:rRNA from 1 species